AUACGUAGGGGGCGAGCGUUGUCCGGAAUGACUGGGCGUAAAGGGCGCGUAGACGGCCGAUUAAGUCUGGAGUGAAAGUCCUGCUUUUAAGGUGGGAAGUGCUUUGGAGACUGGUUGGCUUGAGUGCGGAAGAGGUAAGUGGAAUUCCCAGUGUAGCGGUGAAAUGCGUAGAGAUUGGGAGGAACACCAGUGGCGAAGGCGACUUACUGGGCCGUAACUGACGUUGAUGCGCGAAAGCGUGGGGAGCGAACAGGAUUAGAUACCCUGGUAGUCCACGCGGUAAACGAUGAGUGCUAGGUGUAGCGGGUAUCGACCCCUGCUGUGCCGGAGUUAACACAAUAAGCACUCCGCCUGGGGAGUACGGCCGCAAGGUUGAAACUCAAAGGAAUUGACGGGG
rnacentral:rRNA from 1 species